UGAAGACAGAACUUUUUAUCCCAGAGUUUUCCCAGGGUGAAGCAUGCCUCUAAUGUAGAAAGAGAAUACCUUAAAAACAAAUAAUCAGCAAAACAAAGCAUUCCUGUAAAACUUCUAUUUACAGGAACAUUCUAUGUGAGCAGGUGGCACAAAACAUGAUUGCCCUGAAGAGUGAGAGGUUCUUUGGGCACCUGCAAUCUGCACUAACAGGUCACUUGAGAAGAGCUGACAAGAUCUGCAGAAGGUAGGAGCUCAAUUUUCACUGGCUUGAACUGUGAAGGCAAGAAAAGCAUUUGAGGAAAGUCACAGAUAGGUACAUCCAUCUAACUUAGUAGGAUGAGGUCAGUGUGCCCCUGCAGACAGUAAUCUCUGAAGAAGAUCUGACAGCAAAUCCUUUUCCAUGAGCCCUUCCUAACGUGCUUCAGAAUUAAUUCCUGCAUUGAGCGUAUUUGACAUGAAAUUUAUAUAGACUCACAGAUGUAACAGGUCUGGAAGCACACAAAUAGGUGCAGGGGGACAGCUUUGCCCUGCUCUUCUGCUAUUAAUGAAUGCAUCUGAGAGUGAUGGGGUCUCUUGCUUGGACUCCCCAGUUUUGCCAGUUCUGUCCCCUCAACUUCCCAGUACUGUCUUGUUUUCUUUCUUUGUUGUUUUAUUUUUUAUUUAUUUAUUGUCAGAAAAAAAGAAAGUUCCCUGUGGGGGAAAGAUUUAAGUUAUUUUCUCUUCCCUUUGUUCAGAGAAUGCAAAAAUACAAAGCAGGAGACAGGUCAAGCUGGGAAGGGUGAAAUGACAAUGCUAUCCAGAGCCUGUUAAAUAUCUUUUUAUUAUUAUUUAUUAUUAUUAUUUUUUCCCUCUCUUCCUUUGCCCCCAGAGGAGGCCACAGGCUAAUUAUGAUAAUGUUUUCUUGUAUUUCCAUUUCGUUGGCUGAUCUCCCAGCCACUAAAGUAAACCCCAAAUCUCAACGGGGAGGUCAUAUUCAUCCUUGUUUAUGGGACUCAUUUUCAGAAAUAACACUAUCCUUUUUGUGAAACUUCCCUGGCAGCAGCUCAAAAAAAUAGCUGAAGGCAAACAGAUUCCUUGGUCAGGGUUGAGAGCAUCGCAGCUGCUGGACGAGCCCAGUGCAAAGGACUGCUGGUGAUCACCACCUUGGAGGGCAGUAGGCUGGGUAGCUGGAGGAGGGAGAGGGGUAUGAGAAAGAAGGGGUCUGUUGUGACAGGACAAGGGGAAAUGGUUUCAAACUGAAAGAGGGGAGGUUUAGAUUGGAUAUAAGGAAGGAUUUUCUAAUGAUAUGAGGGUGGUGAGGCACUGGCACAGAUUACACAGAGAGAUGCCCCGCACCUGAGUGCACUCAAGGUCAGACUUGGUGGGGCUCUGAGCACCUGAUGGAGCUGUAGACAUCCCUGUUCAUUGCAGGGGAAUUGGCCCAGAUGGCCUUUGAGAGUCCCUUCCAACUCAAACAAUUCUACGGAAAGGUAAAUAUGAAAAUGAAACCUGCUCUACUAAAUUUUGCAAGAAUCAAGAUAUCUGUUCAGAUCAGGAGGUUAAUCCAACUAUGUUUAACCUAGGACCAGACCAGUGGCUACUACAGAUGAGCAUAAUUCUGCUGAGAUGAGAGCACCAGGCGGGUUAGAGGUCAGCCUGGGGUGCUGUGGCCUGGCAAUGCAGACACAUGGCAAGACUAAGUCAUGCCCCAGAGUAGCAAUUCAGCUGCCUUUGACAGAAGCUGAUGUGGCCACUCUACAUAGAGUGAGGCAAAUUGUUACCACAGAGCUUGUGGUAACACUGGGUUGCUCAGAAGAAGGAAAAUUUGGCUGCAUGUAGGAGAUCAGGAGCACAAAGUGUUGCAUGGAUCAGUAAUGGGGUAGCAAUGUAGGAUGAGGGAAGAACUGAGGUUCUGACAUCUGUUUUUAUCUUGUUUUUCUUUUUUCUUUUUUUUUUUCUUUUAAUGAAUGGGUUUAAGUGAGAAGGGAACGACCCUCUGUUAUUUUGUCAUUGCAUUCAGGUAUCUUGUUUUUCUCUUUUUAUCCUGUGCUUCUGCAAAUGAGUAUUUGUGCAAGCCUGCAAUUCCUGACCACUGGGCCCUGCUGAUUUACUGAUGAACCCUGUCAAGUAUAGAACCAGUAAUUUGUACACAUUCUCUUGGACAAACUGUACCUUGUGCAAUCUCUGUUAGUAGAUCUGCCAGUCCUAUAGCAACGUGGGAUCUGCCAGGCUGCAAAAUCUAAAUGUGAUUCAUACAAGAGGAGAGGAUCUGGUACUUCAAAUUUCAGUGGCAGCUGACAGCAUCUCCUUCACGGAGGGACAGAGCAAAGUAAAUACAGAUAAAUGGUGCUUAUUCUAUUCCAAUUUGGGCGAGACUGGACUUUCGUGUGUUGCUGUUUUGUUUUUUUUUCCCACUGCACAAACAUUUUAAUUCCCUUUUCUUAUUUACUGCUACCUCUGUGCAUCUUCUCUGGCUGCCUGAGAUUAUCAUUACUCUGUGUAAAAACUAUGCAGAAACAACAAAAAAUGACCUGGGAGCAAGCUGCUGCAAACAGGUUCUGCCUCAGGGGAGACUGGGGAGUGAGACUUGUUCUGCCUUGAGGGACUUAGUUUACCUGAAUACACAUCAUUUCCAACUUUAAAAGAAAAAUGUGGUUUGCAACUAAUUUCCUGUCAGGUUAAUGCUGGAAAGAUUUAAAAAUACAUAAAGCUGGAGUAACAGUUGGUCCAGACAGAGAUGCACUAGCCACAUCAGUGGCAUAAUCCAUUGCCAGCUGUUAAUGGCAGAAGCUGUGGGAGUGGAGGCUGUGAUAAGCUCAGGACACCAGGGUGUUGAGGAAGAUGGUGGGAAGAAGGUCAGUUCAUAGCAGAAAGUCCUAUUCUUGGGUUUUGGAACUGAUAGCCCAGAGAUGUGAUGGAUGCCCCAUCCCUGGAGACAAUGUCAGGCUGGAUGGGGUUCUGAGCAGCUGAUGGUGCUGUGGAUGUCCUUGCUCAUUGCCGAGGAGUUGGAGUAGAUGGUCUUCAAGGGUCCCUUCCAACUCAAAUGACUCUAUGACUCAGGUUCACCUAUGAAAAGAAGUCCUGGUGGGUGCUCAGCUGAGCACUCUGUAUGGUUAUUCUACCAUGUACAUGUGUGUCCUGCACUCCAUUCCACUUAAAGAGCCAAUAAAUAAAUUCUAGGAGAUGGCUUAGUGCUUUUAAAGGCUGAGAUAAUGAAGAUUGGUCUGGGAUAAUAAAAUAGUAUGGCCUGAAGACAGAAGGCUGAAAGGAGGGGGAUACCCAAGAGGGACCCAGCUAAGAAGGAGAUUGGGGUGAGGUAGUUGAUGUGAGGGGGAAGAAGAGCUGAUGAAUCCUGCUGAAGUGGGAUGCUGUCCAGGGGCUGGGGAAGCAUAGAGAGGUGAGCACAUGAGAUGUUCUGCCUGUUAUUCCCAGCCUCCCAGAGGGUAAAUUAAGUUGGUGGUUUUGCCUUAAUCCCUCGACCACAUCACCCAAACCACUGCCUGCUCCAGAACAGCAGUAGGUCUCUGCUCCUGCUAGCUGAGCUUGGGGACCCUGUGCUGCAUCUAUGGAAAGCCGAAUAGCUUCCUGCUGUGCUUAGAGACAUGUCAGUGCUUCCCAAGACUGCCCUCACCAGGCUGGCUGCAAUCUGCUCUCCAUCCUGCUCUCAGAGCCUGAUAUUCUGUGGUUAAGAGGUCCCCACAAACUUUUGAGAACUUUCCUGUUUAUCGCUGCCUUGAUGCCCUGCUGGGAGAAGAUCACGUAGUUCCAACCUCUUGCACACUUUCUAAUGCACUCCAGGUCUCAGCAUGGAUUUCCCAUGACUGCUGUAAUAAGAAAGAUGGCAGGAAUGGGAAAACAGAAGAAUGUCCAUGGGAAGAUGUUGUGCAGAAUUGGAAAUGCCUCAUGCGAGGAAUGAACGGCAUUUAAAGAUCUGCAAUGUCUAACACUAGCAUGGCAAAGCGAGGGCCCUGCAAUUUCUUGAGUUUCAGCCAGGAAAGGAUAUUGAUCCUGUGGGAAUCUACUGUCUAUGUCAUACCAUGUCUGCAUCACACGUUACUAGCACUGAUGAAUGCAUUUCCACGUGCUGUGUGGAUGUAUGCAAUUUGUCAUCGCUAGGAGGGAUGGAGGACACAUCUGGUCCUGCAGCAGAUAUGUCUGCUGUUCCUUGGAGAACAGUUCAGGCUGAGUUGGUCUCACUGAUACUCUUCCAACCUCACUUGCUCUCACUUCUCCUUGGGGAAGCUUCAUCCUUCCAGCAGCACAGGCAGAAGGAGAAGAAAAUCUGCUUGAAUAAAGCUCAACUUCCAGACUCAUCGUAACUCAUGCUUAAGGGAAUUAACUGAUUUUAAUGUGGAUGGAACACAGAUGUCCACUUUAUUUGAUGAUAAUGGCAAAAGAUUUUUGGAGGUUGAGGUGAUACCAUGACAGCAAUAGAACAGGUCUUUUAUCAUCCUUGUCUCUUCCACACUCUUGAAGAUGAUUACCUGUGUGUAUCUCCUUCUCUAGCCAUCCUGUCAUGUAAAUGCCUGUCUUACUAUGUCUCAUGUUUUGCAAUCAGCACCUGCAGUUCCUCAAGGGGAACUGAUAUUUAAGGUACACUUCCAGGAUACAGAGUUUUAGGAGAACAUCUCCCUAACUAAAGUUAUUGCUUUCCUGCUUUGCAUCCCUGGAGCAAAUGAGGUGGAACCCAAGAGGCUGAGCUAUGAGAAGUUCCUUCCAAGCAAGGAAGAAACUCAAGACAACUGCUUAGCUGUGCUGCCAAGCAAAAGUGGUCUUCCUGGUAACUAGAAGAUGGUGUUGGUGUAGAGAGGUCAGCAGUGAUCAGUACUGGUUUGAGUUACAUUCUUGAGUCAUGAACGGCACACGUUACGCUCCACACUUGUGCAACACAGUUACUGUAGUCAUGAAUGAUUAAUCCCAACCUAAAGCUAAUGUCUAACACGUUCAGAUUAAUUAUGACCUAAGACCAUACAGGUCUUAACUCUGACUACAUCAGACUCAAAAUAGGCAUCUGCUGGGCAUCCAAGCUUGAGAGCUCAACCCACCAACUAUCCUCUCACAGAGGCAGAGACCAUAAGGUUUAAACUCAACCUAGAAAAGCUGGUGUAUGCAAUUCAAUCUACCGAAGGAUGCAGGAAUGUUCCUUGGUGUCCACUUGGCAAACAUGAAGCUGAAUGUGAUUCUUGAAGCUCUUGCGACUUGGGAUCAUGCUGGCUGUUAAUGGAGCCUCUGUCUGUGCCCAACUGGCUGAAAAAGCAGGAGGGAUGAAAAAGGAAGCGGAGGUCACUCUGAAAUUGUUUUGAUGUGCUCACACCAGCACAUCUGUCUCAAACCUAAGGAAUGAUACAGUGAAGUGUUUUGUAAGACCCUCCAUUUCCCAGUGUGUGAACAUAGGUACAGAAGUGAUUUCUCUCUUCUUCCCUGGUCUCAUUCUUUGGAAGCAGAUGGUUUCUUUGGGACCAUACUUUCCUAUCUAUUAAUUGUGAUUAUCUCACAAUUUUCAAGAUUCAGAGGGGAUAGGCACUGAUUUCUGCCCUAUUUCCAUUUACAUUUUUUCAGUCUUUCAGAACAGGAGUGGAGUCUGUUAGGCCAUGAAAAUGGCAUUUUUUUUUUCUCUUUUAUUUCUUUAAUCAUUUGCAAAGGAGCUGGGGGUUAGAAAGAUCAACAUGUUCUGUGGGGGUGUACUUAGGAGGAGAAUGCCAACAGCCUUUCUUAGCUCUCCAAACUGCACAGAGGCUGGAUUAUCUGCAUUUCACAGUUAACAGCUGUUGCUUAUCUGAAACCAGUCAAUACCAUUAAUGAUGAGAAUGAAAGACUCUCAGUAGAGUGUCUAGUUGAAAGCCAUUUAGGAGCAAUUAAAAGUGGCCUAAGAGUUAAAGCCUGGUUUUUUUUUAGGAAGUAAUAGCACACAAAUAUUUUCGAUUUUCUUUCAAAUCAUACCAAGCUUUUCCUACACUGCUUGUGAAGUAAUCAUUAAGAAGUCAUCUCUAACUCUGUUUAUUAUGAAAGGUUCCUCUUUUUUUUUUUUUUCUGCAGGGAAGGUGCAGCUGGAGAUGCAUUUCUUUUUGGUGGCAUCACUUUUAAGCACAUGCAACCAGAGUCACUCGGACCAUUGGGCAAUAGAAGGCAGAGCUGAGUGCAUCUGGGAAGGCUCUGGGCAAAAGAGGCAGAGGGAAGGGGAAAGCAAUGCCAGGCUGCAACACGAGCACCUCCUUCUCUGGGGUGCACUGGCUUCAUGGACUAGAUUUCCAUGCAAUAGGACCACACUGAGGACAUCCCUGCCUUAUCACAUGACUCCUCCAGUAUUCCACCUCAUUUUGUAGUCAUGACC